rnacentral:tRNA from 1 species
GCGCAUGUGGUGGAAUUGGCAGACACGCUACUUUGAGGUGGUAGUGCCGAAAGGUGUACAGGUUCAAGUCCUGUCAUGCGCACCA